AAUGGGAUAGAGUAAACUGGUUAAACUCAUUAGGCUCAUGAUCUAAAGCUGUAGGUUCGAAUCCUACUCCCGUAA
rnacentral:tRNA from 1 species